AGCGAACGCUGGCGGCAGGCUUAACACAUGCAAGUCGAACGGGCACUUCGGUGCUAGUGGCAGACGGGUGAGUAACACGUGGGAACGUACCUUUCGGUUCGGAAUAAUUCAGGGAAACUUGGACUAAUACCGGAUACGCCCUUCGGGGGAAAGAUUUAUCGCCGAUAGAUCGGCCCGCGUCUGAUUAGCUAGUUGGUGAGGUAAUGGCUCACCAAGGCGACGAUCAGUAGCUGGUCUGAGAGGAUGAUCAGCCACAUUGGGACUGAGACACGGCCCAAACUCCUACGGGAGGCAGCAGUGGGGAAUAUUGGACAAUGGGCGCAAGCCUGAUCCCAGCCCAUGCCGCGUGAGUGAUGAAGGCCUUAGGGUUGUAAAGCUCUUUUGUCCCGGGAAGAUAAUGACUGUACCCGAAGAAUAAGCCCCGC
rnacentral:rRNA from 1 species